UAGGGAAGUCUUCGGCAAUGGGGGCGAACCCUGACCGAGCAACGCCGCGUGAGUGAAGAAGGUUUUCGGAUCGUAAAACUCUGUUGUUAGAGAAGAACGUUAAGUAGAGUGGAAAUUACUUAAGUGACGGUAUCUAACCAGAAAGGGACGGCUAACUACGUGCCA
rnacentral:rRNA from 1 species